UACGUAGGGUGCAAGCGUUGUCCGGAAUUAUUGGGCGUAAAGAGCUCGUAGGCGGUCUGUCACGUCGGCUGUGAAAACCCGGGGCUCAACCCCGGGCCUGCAGUCGAUACGGGCAGACUAGAGUGCGGUAGGGGAGACUGGAAUUCCUGGUGUAGCGGUGAAAUGCGCAGAUAUCAGGAGGAACACCGGUGGCGAAGGCGGGUCUCUGGGCAUUACCUGACGCUGAGGAGCGAAAGUGUGGGGAGCGAACAGG
rnacentral:rRNA from 1 species